rnacentral:lncRNA from 1 species
UGUGUAAGAGCCAUAUAAAAUCAAGUAACAUGUAGGAGAGAAAAGGGGUCAUGAAGGAGGAGUUUGAGCAAAAAGUAAUGCUAAAAAAGAAAAAAAAAUCCAUUGCAAAUGGUAAUGUAAAUAAGGUAAAACUUGAAAACUAUGAAGCAAUACUGCAGAUAGUCAUGUCUGAAGGAAUACCUAGAGGGUUCUUUUUGGUGGUGAUCUUCACUCCUGGAUCUGAAUUUUUCUGGACUGUCUCCCUUACCACUUCUGCAGGACACAAUUGCAACAGAAUUUUCCUUGAAUCAACGGAGGACUAUUACUUGAUGAGAUCAUUGUUUUCAGGUAAAUACUUUCCUAUUGUAUAAAUCAUCAUCUUGCAGGUAAUCUGAAGCAGAUAUGCUGCUUGUACAUAAUAAUGAGCUGGUUUCCCCAAUUACCUGUUCUUAUAUCUACUGUGCUGAGGAAUUUGGUCACUUUGAGUAAUCUCCACGCUGCUCAUUACUAACUUGUCUGAAUACAAAUAUAUUUCUAACUGCCAGUGGGUCUUGAGAUAGAUUCAAGACAGGACUAUCAUCAUCUUAGACUGUCAAGGCAAUAGGAUAAGUUAUAAUACUUGUAGACCGAUACAAAGAUGAAACAGGGUAAGUGUUAAGAUAGACAUUUGAGUAAUAAUAUGCUCACAUACAGAUUUCCCCAGGAAGGAAAUACUGUCAACACAGUCAGUGUCUGAGUUUAUCCUCUCAGUGGAAAAGGUGGGUGAAAAACACUUAUUACUUCCUAUGUGCAUAAUUUAAACCUGUGAAACAUACUGCAGAAAUGUAAGGAGCCAUGAAUUUAGACACCGUUUUCAGCUAAAAUAAAGGUUAAAGUUUGUCUGUAGUGUAAGCCUGAGGUUGCAAAUACCCUCAGAAAAUGUUGAGUUUUGUGUGCAAAAGAGUAUGGUAGUGCAAGUCAGGCUGAAGGAGACAAAGUACAAAUUCAGAUAUUUCUAUCAGUAUUUACCUAAAAAUUAAAAAAUGAAACAAUAUUUUCCAAAGUACAGGCACACAGGCAGCAGGCUUGAAAAUUGCAGCAAUUCUCGGUUCUUUGCUUGUUCCAUUAUAUUUAUCAUAUGCUUAGUGCUUUAUGGGACUGGCAGCACAAAAUUUCUGAUUAGAAGUUUGUUCACUGUAGUUCAUCACAAAGUGCCUGUGUUCUUUAUGCUUGGUUGAACCACAAAGAUUCUUGCAGCAACAUUGUGAACAACUGGAUCCCAUAAUAUUUCAUGCAACAAAACUAUUGAACAGAAGGCAUGAUUUAGGUGCUAAAGUAUUUUAUGGCACAUAUUCUUAUGUGAUAUGGCUUAGAUAAGUUCAGAACUCUAUUCAGAACAUCCAGUCUUAGAAUAAGGGUUGAUAAGUUAUUUUGACAAAAAUCUGUUUACCUUCCAAAAAUGCAUACAUGCAGGACAAUCAGUGCAAACAAUGGACAGAGAAGAUAGUGAGUAAGAGAUUAAUUCAGAGAUCCUCAGUCAAAGAAAUAGUUCCACAUACUUUUUUAUUUUGUUUUGAGGAUAGGUAUGAUCCUACAAAGAAAUUUGCCACAAUCUUUUGAUAUUUAUGCAAAGGAGAACAGUUGACAGUAGAUAACAAUUUGAAUGCAGGCCUAAAUCAGGGGACAAUAAAACAUCACAGUAUAAGGAAGGCAUAGGUAUGCCAGCGUUAGCAAUGUCUAAAACCUACUCCGAAUUUGUGGUCACAGCACAAGGGAUAAAAUAGCAAUGUAGAAUUAGUAUGAUUUAAGAAAAUCGUAUAUGUGUCUUGACCUGCAGCUGACACCAGUUUAAAUUAUGCUGAAGAAUCAACUCUGACUCCUCAAUGCUACCAAAAUACUUUCUCCUGCAAACAAUGGAAUUAUCUCCUCCCACACAUACCAAGAUUCACUGGAAGUUCAAUGUAACUCAGCACAUGAAAGUAUUUGGGCAACAUUCAUUUCAUAUUUGUAAGUUGAAGUAAUAACAAGGAAAGGAGCUCUCUUGGGGACGGAUACGAAAUGUUCUGUGCUACCAAGAAAUGGAAAGAGGAAACUUGUAGAUGAUAAAGAUAAAAGUGCAAGAUGUACUGAAUGUCCUAAAGGGAAAGUAUACCCUGCAAAGCCCUCUGCUCGGCCAAUGUCUGUUGUCUGUUCUUUCUCUGGAGCUUUACUCACUAGAGAGCAUUACUCACUUAUAAAGUGAUUUAAGUGCAGGCCUCUUUGUCUUGUGGGUUUAUACAUUGGCUUUAGUCCUGUGUGCUUCUUAAUUUAAAUGCUAACUGAGAUCACAAAUGUCAUUGGGAGGUUUGUUCCCAAACAACCCUCUUGCCACUCAAGCCGCUUUGUAGCCUGAACUUUCCAGACAGGAGGUGUCUCUGGCCUUAUGAACACAAGAAUGUAAACCUGGAGAGAAGCCCCUCCAAGGUAAGAUAGUGCUUGUAAUUGUUUUGCUCUUCUACUUUUCUUGUCAUCAAGGCAUCAUGUCUUUCUAAAACAUAUGCUACAACCACAGAGGAAACAUCAUCAUCUUAGUGAAACAUCUGUGGGAAAAAAGCUUACGUGAGAUGUUGUACAUAGGGAUAGACUAGAUCUUACCAUGUUUACUUUCUGACUUCAGAACAAGUGGACAUUCAACAAUGGUAAGAAGCCCAAAUUUAUAUUGUAUUUGAAUUUCAUAGAAUAUUCACAGAAGAUGUGUCUGUAUAAUUACUAAUAUUCUCCUAGUAACUGUAAUUUUAAUAAUAAUGCUUGUGAUCAUUGGAAAAAAAAAGGAAAAAGUAAAUGCUCAUCCAGAACAUUCUGUUAAGCAUGUGGAUGAGUCAUUGAAAGAAAAAAGAAAAAAAAAUUGAGCUUUUUAUUUUUUUUUUUAAUGAAUUACUCACUCAUGGAUCUAGACACAUCUAGCAGAUGUCAGAAUGUGUGAUGUUCGUGUCAUCACAAGUGGCAAGUUAAAGCACAAUAACAUUUUUUUUCUCUCCUCUGCAUUCUGUGACGGGAUACUUGCCAUUACUAAGAUGUAGGAACUGUCAGAUUACAUUUCUCCCAGUCUUCAGAGACACUGCCACAUCAUAUACUCGUUUGAAAUCAGCAAUGUUCAGUUCAUUCUCUAUCUCAUUUUCCACAGAACUUUACCCUUUUACAAAAUUACUAAUGUGCUGCUUCACACACUGGCGUUUUUGCGAAGCUUUGCACUGGAGGAGGCACUCAAAGCAAAAGUCCUAACUCUAAGAUACUAUUUAUCAGCCACUAUGUUUUUCUGCUAAAAACAAAAAAGACACCCAGUUUAGUCAUCCAUAAGUCAGCCUAGAAAUCAUGAAAACUUUUCUUUCUCUCUCACCCACAUUUGAUAAAUUUACAACUGACUUUUCUGUUGACAACAGGAGAGAAAGAGGGAAGAGCAUCCCUUCAACUGUUAGCUGUUUUGGUGCAGAGAAUUGUUUGAAUCCAACUGCUGCAGGCUGAGAGCAGUGAAGCAAUAAUACAGCAGGUUUAGCUCCCAACUGUCCCUAAUUUUUUCAUUAACAAUCUUCAUAGUUUGUCCUCUGUCUAGAGAAUUCCCUUCAUUAAGUAUGCAGAUUUGGAAAGAAUGAAAAAUGCUUGGUUUUAAAAGCAAUGGCUGGAUAUUUCAUCAUAUAUUCCAGCUCCUUCUCUCAUUUUCACUCGUAGCACCUUGCUUAUAUGUUCUCUUUUGUUUUUACCUAUAUUUCUGCUUUUUGCCACAGAUGUUUUGUUGGGUUAUUUUUCCUGUCACUUGCAUGUUGUUUUAUUUCAAAUCCCAAUUUUCUGUUGUGAAAGGUUUGUAGAUGAAAAAAAAAGGAGAGACUAAGUUGCAGAGUGUAUUGACUUCUCUAGAUUUACAUUUCCAUCAACAUUCAUAGUAGUCUAAUUAAUUUGUGGACCUUGCAAGCUUUCUCCUUCCCAAAAAAAAAAAAAAAAAAAAAAAAAGUGUAUGUAGGCCAACUUAGGGUAGUUAAGAAUCACAAUUCAAGUUAGAAAUAAUAACAAUUCAAGAAAGAAAACAAUCACCAUUUUUGGUCUCUUUCUUUUCUGUAAGAGGUCAGAGCCAACACUUCCACUGAGUUCAAGAGGGAGACUUCUCUGCCUUUAUGGUCAAGUAAACACAGUUAAAAUACAUAAGCCAGACAUAUACAGACAAAAUACAUGGUCUGUUUCUAAGGCCAAAUUUGGUAACCAAUCACAAUGAAUUCACUGUUUCUAAAUGAGGGCAGAAGUUGUCCCUACAAGACAUUUUCUUUAUUUAUGAUUUUAGUAAGCUUUGUUGAGUUUAUCAAGGCCUUCCUUUUUUUUAGUUGGUUGGGUUUUUUUUUUGUUUGUUUCGUUUUUUGUUUUGUGCGCACAGACUAUCUCAUACGGUGGAUUAUUAUUCCUUGUCUCCGAGUAUAUGACAGUUUUGUAGCACACAAGAAAAAACAAUGUUAUGAAUACUUAUGUGCGGUAUCUUUCUUCAAGAUGAUGCUACUGUCUAUGCAAAGAUUGCAAUUUUGAGAUGAAAGAAAGGACACAUUCGUAAAUGGUAGCACAGUCCUGAAAUUUAUACUAUGGAUUUCAGCUUUUCAGUUUAGUUAGAAAAAUCUUCAGGCUUUCAAGGCAUCCUCUGCAGUGAUCCAGAGAUAAGCUAAACCUGAACAUUUUUUCAUGAAAAAUGAAAGAACACGUUGUUGCUAAUACACUAUUAGCUGAAGUUUUCCAAGGGAUAGGAUUGAAGCUCUGCUCCUUUCAAGAGACAGUCUGACAGCAGCCACACUAGAGCCAACUGUACAGUCACUCUCCAGUGCAGCCAACAAACAAGCUGAGGGAAGACAGCUAAGGGAUCAGACCCAGGUCUCGCCAUAGACGUAGCUGUUGGAAACAUUAUAUUCUGAAACAAAACUGAAAUAAAUUAUCAGCAGAAGUGUGGGACUGACUACACCCGGAAUGACUAAUAUUUUAAUGUUGAAGGAAAUUUCCCAGACUGCACUUUUAGAGACCACUGCUUAUGACUGAUAAUAUCAAGGACAGAAAGUGCAGGAAAGUAGUCAAGGAAUUGCUCACAGGAGGCUAAAUCUGAACACCUUCUUCCUCCUUGUUUUUGUGAUACUUGCUGAGAAGAUGCUGAUGUUUUCAAGGUCAAAGUUCUCCAAAGAAGGUUAUUCCAUUCUCUUGGUGAAUUCUCCAUGACCACAGACUCUCCACUCUGUGUAGGGGACAUUUUUUGAGGUACAGAGGAGAGUUAGAUGCCCAAUUCCCAUUAUUUCUCAAGGCAAUUACAUGCUUAACUGCCCUCUGUGCCUUUUAUAACCUUCCUUUUAGGAGUCAGAUGUCCAUGAUUACAUAGAUUAUCUACAAGUUUCACAACAGCAGUACUUUGAGGUACUUUAAAAUGCUAUUGGAAGGUUUGACAACAUACAUAAAAUGUAGAGUAAUGAUCAUAGAGUCUAUGGAUUGUUUGUUUUAAGAAGCUGAGAUUUUAAUGCAAAAAUAGGAUACAUUUUUAAGGAAACAUACCCUCAGCCUAAAAUACAUAUAAUUAUGGUUUAUUCUGUUGCUCCAGUGGAUUAAAACAUUCAUUAUACGAGCCACAGAUAAGAUAUAAUCUGGGAGGCUGAUGACUUUUGCAACAUCACAGAAGAUUAAAGGGGAGAUUUUGUUGUAAACUAGUUGAGUUUGUAGAAAAAAACUAUGUCUACUAUGUGGUAAAAUGAUUGCUGUCACUUUCAGCUCUGGCUUUUCUAUUCCAUUUUUCAUAGUCUAGCUGGCUGUAAAUCUUCAAAAUUGCAUAAUGCCAAUUAAGAAAAUAAAGAGCAAAUUGAGAUACCAGUACUCAUAGAGGAAUGUUGCUGGCUGAGGCCCCAGAUAUUUUUUGUGUCUCCAGUGAUUUGCCUGUAACUGUUCCAGGAAGUUUGGGAAAAGCUUUGCAUUGACAUCAUGCUAUAAAUGCUGGAAAAAGCUUUAUCCUGGGAAAAAUUUGAGUCCCAGUUCAGUGUCCUGGGUAACCUAUCCUACGACUUCUAUGGAUAUUCUCAAGGUUAAUGAAUUCAGCAGAAAUCUAACCCAUCUCUUUCUAUGCUUUCAAAGCUGUUUUAUGGAAGAAAAAGUUAACAAAUUUUUUAUAUCUGCAUUAUUUUCUCCUGAUUUUACUUUUCCCAAAAUCUUUUGUUUUUUGUCUUUUCAAGUGCAGCUGCUCCUAUGAACCACAUAAUAGGAAAGUAUGUUAUACUAUUAUACUUCAUUUAAAAAAAAUACUUUAACAGUAAUUUAUUCUCACUAACAAAAGAAACAGAUGAAGGAUGGCUCGCCUUUUCUUAAAACAUGGUCUUCAGGAUUGUUUGCUUCUUUUUAUAAAUUAAAAGCAGUAGACAUAAUGACAGUAGGCAUAGAUCAAACUAAUUCCUGGAAAAAAAUAAAACAUCAGAAGGGCCAUUUAGAUUCAGUUCAUAAAGAUAGCCACUGUGGAAAGUUAAAUCACUGACAAGUGAGCUUCUGAGGAGGAGGGAAAGCAUCCAGUGACUGUUAGGAUCAGUACUUAAUCUCUUAGUUGAAAAUUCAAUAGAGUUACUAUUUAGAGGGGUUUUAGUUUUCCAGGAAUUAUUGUUACUUCCACCACUUGUCAGUGAAUGGUUGGGUUUUCUGAACCAAACUGUGUGACUCAGAAUACUUGUGAUUACAUCUCUGUGGAAGUAUCAAGGACCAAGAAGAUGUGCUGUUCUUGCGGCGUCUGUCUCUCACACUGAUUGAGAGAAAAGCCAGUUGACUAGUUUGAUCUAGAAGCCCUAUUUUUAGAUGAACUGAUUUAGGCAAGAAAAACCUAACUAAAUAAAUUCCAAUUACUGUAUUGCUGUUCAUUUUCAAGUUAAAUCUUUUAGUAUGAAAGAUCUGCAAAAUAAUUUUGUGAGAAGUAACAAUCCUUUUCUUGUAAUAGUGGUUGGGAAAAAAAACAGGAAAUAGAACAACCUUGCAAGUUCAUAAGAAAUGAAUUUCUUUUGCAGUUAUUGCUAAAUGUGCCAUUUUUUUCUGACUUUUUAUUCUUUGUGUACAUUUUUUCAUAAAUAUGUUGUACGGGAAAAAAUUGUUUUAAUAACCUCUCACAUUUGGCAAACUGAAACCCCGAUGUCUCAUUUCACUUUUCUGAUAUUUCACAGCCAAGGAUUAGCAACAUUUUAGAAACAAUGCUAAGACUGUGUGUACUUGUUGUUUUUAAUAAAACUGUCAAGUGCUAAACCCUGUGAGUGCAUAGGUAUAUUUAUAGAUUAUUUCUCUCCAAAUGAAUACGAAGAAUUAUUUUUAAAACCACAUUCCCAAAUGUAAAGCUAGCAAAACAAAGCAAUAUUUCACUAUAAAAAAAUAUGCAAAAACUAAUACAUGUUUUGGACAGACAGAGAAAGACAUGUUUCAGUAUUCUGAAAAUAAUCUGAUUCUAAAUAAGACACACAAUAAAAAAAGAACUGUUAGAAACUAAUUUCUUUCCUUUUGCCUUCAGUGUUUUUUUUACUUUAUUCAAUACAGAUUAGUCAAUUAUAAUCUAGUACUACCAUUUCAGAGUAUAACAGCUAUUAUUGGACUUCAAAAAUAAAGGUAAAUGUUAUUUAUCUGCUUAUGAUACAGGUAAUGAAUCUCAAGUAUAGGCAGAUUACACCCAAGUUCAAAUACUUACAUUUAGUCACAUUUUUAGUUUUUAGUCACUUAUUGGAUUCAGAAACCCAAGUCAACUAAACUGUCUGUCUUCACAUAAUCAUUACCUUCCACAUUUACUAAAUCUGAAAGAUCUAUCUGUACCACUAUCCUUUGUAGACAGUGAACAAACCCAUCUAUUUUAUUCAUAACCUUCAGUAUCUGUAGUCACAUUUUCCUACCUGAUAUCAGCUCCAGAAAUGUUAGGAAUGGUGCCUAAAUGUUAUGUUUCACUGUGAUUCUUCUGAAAAGCAUCAAUACAUCGAGACAGUGUUCAUUUUGACGUUGGUGGCAAUGAGAACCAGAACUGCUCAACUCAAGGCUAGAGAUUCUCCUAGACUUUAAGAAUAGUUCAGCUUUAAGAGUAGAAAUAAUCUGAUUUGAUGUAGAUGUCAACACUGGGUUCUCUUGACAGACAGUGGAAAUCUACUCAGUAGUUCAGAUUGUGAUUCAUAUCAUUCUAAAGUAAACACUUAAAAUAGGCCAGAGAAACCAUACCCUAAUCAAGUCUGCAGAGACUUCAGAUGGAGCCUAAGAUGAUGAACUCAACUGAAGAAAGCUGAUGUUACAAGGAAUCCAUGCAUGUACUAUACAAUACAACAUUUAUACAACAUUUAUUGACUGUUGUAGUCCAUUGUAUCUAGUGUCCUAUAUUCCAAAGAAGAAAAAAAAAACACAAAAAAACCUGCAAGGAUAAAGAUUUUUAAGUCUUCUGCAAUCUUACCUGUAAAAUACAUCCCCAAACCUUAAUAAACCUUUUUUAGAGUUACAACAAAAAUAGUGUAAAGAGACUCUGAAGAAUUAAGACCUUUAAAAAAAAAUAAUAAUUAAAAAAAGUUGAAAUUAGACAUGGGAUUUCAAAAGCAAGGAGAUUUGAAUGUCUAGUGUAAACUGAGCAACCAUAUCCCUUGGGCUUCUUUGAAAGCCUAAAUAUUAGUAAAAGGAAAAUUAAAUCAGGAAAACAUUGGCACUUCUUACCAUUUUGUUACUGGAAAGGGACUGCAGCAAAAAUAGCUAGUUCUCUUAGAGCAAAUGUGUUAAUGUAAAGACACUGUUUCCUUCAUUCUACAAUAUCUUAUUUUUGGAGAAAAACAAGCAUUCCAGUUGCCACGUUUUAUUCAGUUCUGUUUUUUUCAGUUCAGGUGAAUCUAUAUUGAUGGAACCUCUGUCGGCUAAUUUUGUAAAAUACAACUCACAAUAAUCUUGUGAGCGCAGCUCUUUUUCUAAAGCACCAUUUAAAGCAUUUUAAAAGUUUGCCCAUGUUCCACUCCAACUACACAGCAUUAAGCUCUGUCCAUAAAGGAUUUUCUGAAGAGAUUUUGAUAGGAAGACUUGCAAUGAAUACCUUGACUAAUAAAAAUUUAAAAAUACACACUGUAUGUAUUUAUAUUAGUCUGUCUCUUUCAACAGGAAGUGUUAUAGAAAUGCGAUUACCAGACACUGAGGUUUUUUAACGUAUAAAAUAGGAAAGAGAGAGGACAAGCUGUGGUGAAGAAAAUGCAAGCAUUGUACAACUCAACAGACCUCCUGUCCCAGAGAGAUUUAUUUACUGGAAAUUACGACAAUGAUUUAUGGGCAGCUGGAAUUUGCAUGCAUUGCUCCGAAUCUGUGGAAGAAUCUAUGUGGUUGUUCAUGGCCUUCAGAAACAUGGAUGCUGCAAAGCAGAGCUAUGGAGAAUAUGGAAAGCAGGCUCAAAAAGCAUCUGCAAAUCUGUGCCAAUAUUAUUGCCUCUGUCAUCAAGCAAUGGAAAGGUUUUUCUAGUUAAAUUCAAGUAAUUAAAUCUCCCUGCUCUCAUUAAAAAAAAUACAACUGUCUGCUGCUGGUCUGAAGAAUUGCACAGAGUGAACGUAAAUUUUAAUUUCAUGGUGCAAGUGUUAAAUUAUUGCCAUCUAAGCUGUCUGCCAGUGUUACAUGAAAUCCCACCACAUUUUAAUAAUUCUCCCUUUGUUUUGGAUGGAAAUACCACGUGUUGUGAUUUGGAAGUUUUUAUGUGCAAUUAGAGCCCUGAGAACUACAACAUAAUCACAUUCAAUUCACCUAAUUGGACAGCGAGGAAACUGUCAUUUCUGAAAUGGUUUGUGUCUUUUGGAAUGUCUGUGUGUAUACACAUGCGUAUAAAAUGAAACAUUUUCUCACCCAUCCUGUGUUAAAAUGUAAUAGAAACUCCUGCUAACUGAAGUUGAAGAUAUAGCUGGGUGUUCUUUAGUAACCUCAAAACAUAUACGUGUGCGUGUAAAUAAAAAACUGUCCUUCUAAACACAAGGAUCCUUCCCUCCUACUUACUUUGCAACAUCUUAGUAAGGAUUUGCCAUCAAUUCCCUCUCUUUACAGUGCAUUUGAUGACAUUUUACAGAUCAUCAUACUAAAUAAGUAAGAACCAUCCUCUGAUUUAGAAGAAAAACCUUUAUUUAUUUCAAUUUAUUUUGGGAGUUCAGAAGUAAUGACAAACUUGACAAUCUUCAUGACAAACAUGACAAUCUUCACAUCACUUUAAGCUGUGUGACCAAAAAGCCAUUAGCUUCACAGAAACAGACAAUACAUUUCAUCCUGAAACAACACUUAUGAUCAACAUUUAUGCAAUCUAUAGGUACUUCCUAUAUUUGUAUCAAUGCAAGUAAGAAGACAUGGAGUAUCAAACCAGCAAGGGCUUAGAAAUAUCAAGCCCAAGAGUUUACCCAUUUACUUCAGUGGAAAAUAGUGCUAGUAAAUAUCAAUACAUAUUUUAAUCUUUUAUUUCAGUAAUUUCCAUGUAAAAGCAAACAUAUUCUGCCAACUUUAUUCAUUGUCUUUGAUCUUUUUUUGAAGCAUAUUAUGAUAGAUUUCUGAAUCUUUUAAUUCAAUGUUGAAGUAGAUAUUAAGUAUAUCACAACACCAAUCCACACUAAAUAGAACUUUUGUUUUUUGUUCUUUUGCUGAAAUGUCUGACAGUAUUUCAAGAAUAAUUUAAUUAUGAACUUUAUAUUAACAAAAGACAAGUGAUUUUUUAUUCCAUUCAGUGUGGAAUAAGAUACUACCUAUAUUUGUUAAGCCCUGUGUAUCAACCAGAAUUUGCAAAGGGAAGUUAUCAACUUCAGAUACUCAUUCUCCAUUUCCCAUAAAUAUGUUAAAAAUACAAAGUCAGCUCCUAAGUUUUUCAUCAAAUAAACUAGCUUAUUAAGAUUAAGUGGCCUGAAACCACCAUCUGUGAGUUCACAUUUAUAUCUAGAAAACCUGUAUAAUCAUGUGUAUUGAGAGUAAGGCUUAGUGUUGGAAGGCCCAACCUUGUAAACAAGCUUUGUUUACACAAGAAGACAAUAGGACUCUUCUUUUGUUUCAGAGUUUACAUGUUCAGAGGCUGAGAUCACUAUUUUUGAAAUGUGAUGAUGGGAAUACAAAGUAAUUACCUUUAUGAAGGUUUUACAAAGAAUCCUGUAAGUAAAGCCCAUGACAGAAAUAUAUAGUGUCUCCAAAGAAACAAUUAUGAUGUAUUGUGUUUGAAUAAUAACUCAGAAUGUUUUAUCAUCAUCUGUUUACAUAAUAAGUCAUAAUAACUUUUCAAAAUAUGGUGCUUGCAUUUUUAUUAUUGUUUUAAGUGUACAUAGGGGAAUUACUACAGCCUAGAAUCAUAAACUUUGUAAAACUUUGUUGAAGACUGCAUUUUUAUUCCCAUCCUCUUCUGCUCAAACAAAAAUGUAAAGGAAACAACACACAAAUAAAAGUACGCUAAAAUAAUCCCAUGUGUCUGGCUAAAAGAAAAGACAGGAAAUUCUUAAAAGUGUGGUUAUAAACUGAAAAAUGCCUUUAAACAUGGCUUCCUACUGUCUCACAUUUAUAUAUUCAUAAUUAUUUCACUAUCAAUAUUUUCUUUGCUUAUAUGUACACAAAUUACAUUAUUCAACAUGCCAAGACCACAUUCUCAGUCUGAUAUCUGGAAUACAAAGCCCUGUUGUCACUGGCUUCUACUACAGUGUUAAAGAUGGAACUGAGAGAAAUUCCUAGAUUCCCUCUCCUGGAAACUUUAUGAUUUAAGCCUACUUCUGACCUUUAGCAAUAUUUCCUUGGGGAGACUGAGGUCCAAAUUAAACUUUCAGGAAUUACAAGAGAAAUUUCAAUGAACUCUAGAGAUGCCAGAAAGACAAAUGACAAAAGUAGUUAAAGCAAAAGUGCUGAGCACGUCUUAAGUGCUUCAAUUAGAACUCUUGUUCCCCACAGGAUGUUCCAGAAAGGUGUAGAGGUGCUCACAGACCCUCACAAUGGUUUCAGACAUCUAGCCCACAAAGUAGAAUCCAAAGCCAAGAUUAGAGAGCUGUUACCUACAGAGAACAGAUGAUGUUAUGUGAGAGGACUAACAAAGUAGAAACAUUAUGGAGUUAUCUAGAAUCUAACUCAUAAUUUUGAAAGUCAGAUAAUGCCAACCUAUGUAGUUGAGGCACUCUGUCACAGUGGAAGACUGUGGUUAUUUCCAUCCACUCAGUGUCCACAGACCAUCAAGGUAAUUCAAUUUUUGUUUCAAAGGCUCCGUUUUUUUAAAAAAACAUAACCACUGUUGAAGAUGAGAUGUUAAUAAUGGAACAUAGGAUUAUUCUUAGUUCUACUAUUUACUGAAAAAUAGACAUACAAACUGUGUGGGGCAAAGACAAAGGCCAGAAUCCUGCUUGCUCCAUAAAAAUUGUUUCCUUCCUCAUUUAUCUCCUUGAAUCUUAAUGAGUUUUGCAGUUGUAGUGCACAUCUGUACAGCUAUGUAGACUAGCCUGGGACCCAGUGGGUAAGGUGUGCCUCCUCAGAAAUUAGAGUUUAAAAUACCUGAGGUCAAAGCAGAUGUAAAAAGUUGUCUCCUUCUGAAAGGUUUCCAGUUUUAUUGGCAUAUACUACGUUUGUCUGAGUGCACUUUCCAGGUCUGUGCUAUAAGCUAACACUACCAUUUAUCUUCUGGAUUCCCAGACUGUUUAAGUCAGACAGAGGUACAUGCCCGCUUCACCCUGAGCCCUUCUGCGAAUGGUCAGAAACAGAAUACUGUGUGAUCUCAAAAAGAUUCAGAGCAAACAUGGAAGACAGUUAUGUUUAAAUGACACUCUGGUUGGGCAGGCACUGAACGCAGUAACAGUUUCAACAUAGACACCUUAAACCUUCCAGUAUUCUAUUUUAGGUAAGUUGUUUUAUUGUCUCUAACCUGCUGAUUAUUUGUGAGAUGUAAAAAUGUGCAGAUACGUCUCCCUCAUCUGAUGUUGCUUCUUUGCUGCUAAGAAGGAGGUAAAACAUUACUCUUACUUAAAUUCUGCAAUGAAUGAGCACAACAGUUCAUUUCUAAAAAGGUACAUUUUUUUUUCUUUACAUGGAAUGUUUCUGAAUUCUUACUUAUUUUUCCUUAAAGUCUGUCAGAUGUGUAUCAUUCACUUUAAAGUUAUUUCCCACAUAGUUGCAUUCUUAAGGUAAAAAGAUCAAAAGGAUGGAUGGGUUCAGAGCACAAGCUGUAAACUAGUUAUAAUUCAAGAUGACUGACAAUAUUUAAAUCUUGUUCUGACAAACUAUAUAAAUGACUAAAGAACAUGGAUUCUUCAUGUGACUCUUUUAAACAAAUUUCUGCCUAGAUAUAGGUAGAACCAGGCUUAUCCUACAGCAAGAUAGAGGAUCUGGGCUCAGCACAGCAGAGCAGUACAGCCACAACUGUGUCUCACAAACAGAAGCACGUAAACCGGUCUUUUUUUCUCUGGUAAAUACAUACUUACAAUUACCUGAUAGUUUGCCAGCAGUGCUAUUGGUCAGCAAAGAUACCACUUAUAGCCACACCAGUGGACUCUACAUAGAGAGUUGGAACAUACAUAUUUCGUAUAUGAUGGCAGAUUUUUUUAUACAGAACUUCCUUUCACUUAAUUAUUAACUGCUAUAUAACCUGUCAAAGUGUGUAACAGACUGAGUGAACCACUUUCUGGGGCCAGCAUUUACUAGGAUAUUUGCAGAGCAUCAAAAUCAUACGUGGAAAGGAACUAGUUUGUCAUCUUAGGUCAACCAGCUGAUCACUUCAUCUUCCAGGAUCUUUCAAAAUGGUGCAUUUUAUUUUCUUGUGGGAAAAGAAAACUUUAACAAGAAAUUGAAUCCAUUACCCGUUUAGUGCUGUCAUACUGUUCUAUUGAGUUUUAUAGGCUGGUUCAAAAGUUUACAUAACUCUUAUUUGGUAUUAAAAUUUAUAGUGUUUUUUGAAUAAUUUCUGAAAUCCUUUUGGCUUCAUGCUUCUUCCAGUGUAUAAAUUUUUCCCUUUCCAGUGUCGUCCUCUUUCAGCAUAUAGAUCUUUCCUGGCAACAUUGAAGCAAAACAGUAUCAGACUUUAAAGUCAGAAUCUUUCCCCAUUUAAGUGCAUCCAAAUAAUCAUUUCCUCUCCAUUCUUGGUGUUUACAUGCAUCAAAUACUUGAAGAUAGUUAUGCUUCUUAUGAGCCACUUAGUUAAUCUCCAAUGUACAUACACAUAUUUUACUCCUUUAAUCUUUCUUCAUAAAUAAGUUUCUCUGUCCCCCUUAAUCAUACUUGCUAGUCCUCUCUAUAUUCUCUCCAAAACCUUUUAUUUCUGCUUUCAUUUUGGCUGUCGGAACCAUUGCUUUAAAAUUUCUUCAUUCUAAGUUUACUUAAGUGCCAAAAAAAAAAAAAAUUGCUAGAAAUAAAAAUAGUAAUAAGUUUCAGCAUAAAGCAAACAUAUUCCAGUUAAGGUAAUGUAUAUUAUAAGCACUCCUUUCCUUUUGCAAUUAAUAUUGGAUUUUCAUAGUGUAACAAAACAUCUUUAUUGCACUAGAAUACAGGAUGGGAUAUACUUUAUCUGUCUUUCAGAUUCUACUGUCCUUUCUAAACAUUUCUCACUGCCUGAAGCUUAAUUGAUCUGUUUUAGAUUACUAAAUCAGGGUGGAAUGAUGAAUCACAGCGUUGACUUUGCCAGAUAUGAAGAGAGUUUAAGACAUUCAGAACCUGAGCUCAUGUGAACCGACAUUAUCAGAAGUUUAUAAAUACAGACUUCUGCAUCUGGACAGAUGAUUUGUGAUAUCUUCCAUACUGCAUGAAAGCACAGGAUAACCAAAGCAGGCUUGUUAUUCCAUAGCAUACAAUAGUUCUUCAAAACCAGGAUUGUUAAGGUGGUGUAUUUAUCUGGAGACCUCCAGGAUUUUCAGACUAAGAUGCAGCUUUGUGUCUAACUGCAGCCUAGACAAUACAUAGAUGGGAAAAUUCUCAGUAAUUAAAUAUCAAGACCCCCAAGGCAUUACAUCAUUCUAUCAAGGAACUGAGUAUUCAAGAAGUUAGCAUCAGAGUCAACAUUUACACAAGACACAUGCACAUUAUGUAAUUAGAAGAUUAAGGUAAAAGUAAGACACUGCCUUUGGGAAAAUCUGUUUCUUAAUUGGCAGAAAGAUGAUUAAACUUGCCACAUCAGAUACUUUUGUUAAAUUGAAGAUCUUAAGAAAACAAACUCUUAUUUAUAAUUCUCAUCCCCUUAACUCCUGAAGAAGAGCUGGAAAACCACUGAAUUUCUUGUCAAAAGAAUCAUGAUUAAAAACCAACCAAAAAAAAAAAAAAAAAAAACCCACCUUGCUGUGUUUAUUCAGUCCCUCCAAUAAUCUUAAGGCAGGUUUUCCUUGAGAUAUCAUAUUGUUCCUCAGGGAAACGUUUACUUCCUAGAAGCUUCUUCAAACAUAUUUUUUUCCUAACCAAGAAACACAAGAAUUAUAAUUGGAAGUGAUCUGCAAACCAUUUACAGAUGUGUGGCAAUGAGCUAAUCUCCUUUACCCACAGUUAGUAGAGCUUCUUCAUACCAGCAUUAGUGGUUCAGAAGAUCUGCUUCUCCACAAAGCUGUGCUCUUAGAAACACAGGGAGACUGGAGAAGUUGUUGAACCACCACAAGACUUGAGAAGCUAUGGAAUCACCUCUGUUGAGCUGGGAAUCAACACAAUGCUUUCUCAGAACAGCUUUUGAAACACCACUGUAAGCUACUGAAAGAUGCGUGAAUGUUUCCUGUGAACAGCAGGGAGUAUGCCCAGCAAAGGAUGGUGGGACUUACUUUGCUGGUAAAAUAUUUUCAUACAUGAAAGACAAAGCUUUUCCUCCUCAGCCAUGUAAGACUAUGACUUCCAGAAGUGAUAAAAUGAUCGGUAGUGCAACAUAGCUCACUGUGUACCUGGCAUUUGGUUAUCUGUAUUGUACUUUCUAUAUUAUUUCAGUGAACUGAAAAAUUAGUCCAUUAUUCUGAUGGCAGAGACAACCAGCUGUCUUCUUGAUAAGAUGUUGCCUGUUUUUCUCUCUUUUCCUUUUUAACCUGUUAAGCUGUUUAUGUAAUAAGUGAUAGCAAGUCAGACGGUUCAACUAAAGUAAAACACUGCUAAUGGAAUAUAGUGUGUUCAUUGUUUUAAAAAGUCUUCCAUAGAUAAUAAGUGUUUGUAAAAAAGAAACAUUUUGAAGUAUUAGUUUAUGCUUGCUUUCCAUUUCUAUUUUAAGCCUACAUAGAAUAAAAAAAAAGAUGGAGAGACAAGAAAGUAAAAAUGAUAGCACUCAGAUAGUCACAACACACUGAAAGAUUUUGUUUGACAAAAGCAUUGCAGUUCCUAUAAAAACAAAGCUUAGCAGAUUAAAAAUAAUAAUAAUAAUAAUUAGCCUGCUAAAAAAAUUCUCUUUUAUCAUUUUCCAUCAGAAAAUCAAAAAUAACUACAAUUGUUUUAUUUAAUCUGUUCCUGUAAAAUAGAUUUGCAGUAUUCUUUCUCCCGUAUUUUCAGAACUGAACAAUUUUUUACCAUAUGUGCUGUUUUAGUGCAAGUCUCCACUUUCAAAUAUUUUUAUUUUAUGAUGUCUCUUCUGCUUUCUUUCAUUUGCAGGUUUGUUCUUCAUUCUUGCAUCACAGCAGGAGUUGUACCCUUUAUCAGUGUUGAUGUCUUCUUAAAAGAGGGUCUGUGACCGCAUUUGAAGUAUCUCUACUACCAGUUGUGGUGAUUUCACCCUGAUGUGCAGCUAAACUACUACAUCAUUCUCCUGUUACUCCUACUCAAAGGAAGAGGGGGAGAAAAUGAAAUGAAAAAAGGCUCAGGGUUUGAGAUUACCGUCACUGAUCAGUGAUUAUGAGAAUAAAUAAACAUAGUGUGGAAAAAUCUUUGUAUAGUCAUUAAAAUACCCAAGUGUGGCAUUCUAGUAGAGAUUUAAUAAGGAGAAGAAACUGACCCUCAGACUUAGGAAUUCAUUUUCUUUACUUUUCUACAAGGACAGACAUACAUCUCUCUAUCUAAUUUAUAUAUACAUACGUAUAUAUAAAGCAAAGCUUUUAAAGAAUUUUUAUUUAUCAUUGUAAAAUCUCUACUUAGAAUUGGAAAGAGAUAGAAAAAAAAAAAGUAGACUUUGAUUAUCACCUUGAUACAUCUAAGUGUUUACAGUGGGAGCUAAGCUGUAGCAUAGCAAUGUAAUAAAAAUAGAAAGUAAAGUGACGUAAAAAGUGCACUGAGGACUACCUUAUAACUAAUUCCAAACGUUCAAGAAUAGUAAAUGGUUAACAGUGAUGCAAAAGGAAAUUACAGAAAAAACAAUCAAAAAGGACUCCUAAACAAUGAAAGGAAACAAAAAAUUAAUAAAGCAGAAGACUGAAAAACAGAUAAGGAGAGCAAAACGGUGAAAGAUUUCACAGAAGAUUAUGAAAUUAGCACAAAAAAUUUUUAAACAAUCCUAAGAAUAAACUGUCAUUGAAGAACAGAAUAGGGAUUGUGGAGGAUCAUUUUUUAAGGGAUGAGGUAAAAAAAGAUGGAAAAUUUAAACAAAUUCUUCGCAUAGCUGUUCAGAAAGAAAUGUCAGCUCGCAGAGCUGUAGAAAUAUAGGUACAUAUUUUCUGGAGCAAAAGGAAGGAUAAAACACCUAAGUAAACACACACUGUAUGUGACAUAGUACAGAUGACAAUCUUAGCAUGUAUCACAUAAAAUAAUUUCUCAGUGCUAAAGCAUAUGCACUUCAGAAUUCACAGAAAGGGACAAAAAACAGCAUCACUCUUCACAAGACUAAUUUACAUCACUUCACCAUUCAGAUAACUUUUCCUUUUCAAAAUGUUGCUUUGAAGUCACAUGGGCUACUUACAUGACUGACAACUCUAGGACUGCAGUGAAAAAGAAGUUUCAGUGGAAUUAAAGAAAAAGUAACGGGAAGUGUGCAGGAGGUAUCUGUGCAAAGAAGGGCCCCAUGCAACUCCUCUCACAGCUUGCCUCUAAAAACUCAAGAACUGGGUUUAAAUGAGAGAAACACCUUGUCUUUCUGGCAAGUUUUAGCAAUGCCUUCUAUGCAGGAAAGCAAUUUGCUUCAAGACCAAACAGAAAUGCACACUGGUUAAGAGUGAUAUAUUACAAAAACAACAGAGUAUAGCUAAAUUCAGCAAAUUAUGAAGCAAUGGCUAUUUCAGUGAGAGUCAGAGAUUCGUCUAAUGAGAUCCAGGAGUUUCAGCUCUGAACAAAAAGUGAUGAAUUCAAGCUUAAAUUCCUACAAGUAACCCCUAUUCUACAUUAAAGGUAACCAUCCAUCACAUUUUUAACUACAUCUACAAGGGAGUUCAGUAACUUCAGUCUAAAAAAUUCAAAACACAGACAUAUUUUCAGCCAAAACAAAGCCAGAGCCAGCAGUAAUUUUAAUUCUUUUCACUAAGUAUUGUUCUGGCCAUAAGACUAUGUGUAAAAUGGAUGUGGUUGAAGCCACAAUGGACUGUAAGGUUUAUAGGAUGAACAAGUUGCUAAGGAAGAGCUUGCAUGCCUAAAAACUUACAUUAUUCCAGCUGGAGUGCAUCCUGUAACAACAGUACUUCUUUAUUCUUCCAUAUCUUCCCUAAAAAGCUGAGCGCUCUGGCUGAAGACAGGCCAGGAGAGGCGCAUGGAUGUUUGCCUUCUUCAUGUUGCCUGAAAACCUAGUCCUUGUCUCAUCUGGGAACAGGACAGUCAUGCCAAGUGGAUGCAUCUCCCUGCAUCUGUGGAGAGACAGCAAAUGUGCUGUCUGGAAAGUAUCUGUGUUCUAGGAGGUGAGAAACUGGCUUGGGCUGUUUGAUUUCACUUCUACUCAGAGAAAUGGGGCAAUGAACUUUCUAAUAAACAGGUUUGGUUCACAGAGGGAUGACUCCACCAUCGAUCAUUCCACCAGAGGAAUAACUCAAGAUUCGAAAAUUUUAACCAGAUAAUUUUAUCAAAAGAAUAAUAAAAAAAAAAAAAAAAAAAAAAAAAAAAAAAGGACCAAGUAAUGACUUAAAACAAUUGCUGUGAUAUUACAUCUACAUAGGAUCUACUGGCCUAUAUGUCAGUUUUAAUCUGCCACUGGUUAAAUCCUACAUACUGAGCAAAAUAACUUACCAACACAAUACAUGCAAAGUAAAUAAAUACUCAAGCAACACUCUAUGUCCCACAUCCACUCAGAUACCAGAAGUGUGUAUUUCCAGUCUGUGAAAUACAAUGAUAAGUAAAAACAGUGAUUCUCCAUGAGUGCAUUACUCAGAAGAAGCAAUGUUAAGGCAGUCAGUGUGAUCUUUAAAAAUCACUCCCAGUAAAUAAAUAAAUAAGCACCUCUACCUGCACAGCUAUCUGAAGACAAGUUAACAAAUUCUGUUUUCCACUUAUUAGCAAAUCAGUUGUUCUGUAAAGAAUACAUGAUCAAAACCUACAGCAACAGCUGGCACAUGUAUAAAGCGGGGCAAAAAAAUUAAGAUGAAGUAUUUCUGACAAAAAAAUAUAUGAAACAAAACAAAGUUGAAAACUGAAGCAGAUAUCAGAUAACCAUUUUGUCAUUUAUAAAAUACUUUUUCAGGACAAAAGGGGUUGCCAUACCUUUUCACUCAGCAUAUCCUCAGAGUCACAUAUUAAGCUGAUCAAAUCCGAGGGUACUGCAGUAAGCUGAAGCUUGAAGCUGCCUCCACUUCCUUCAUUUCGUUUACAGUUUUGUUUGGGGGUUGUUCUUUUUUUUCUUUUUAGCUUGCAGAAACCUGAGGGAAAAAAUAUUUUGGGGGUUACUAUCGAAAUAGUUUAUUCAGUAGUCAAUUAACUGAAAAAAACAAAUAGUUCUAAACUGAUCUCUUAUAUACCAUGCCCCUUUUUAUAUCAUAGUUAUUGGUUCCAUUCUGUUGUUAUAUUUUACUGAAAACAUUAUGAAUAUAAAUGAGAAUAGUGCACAAAGAGCAGAGGUGAAGAUAUGUCCCAUUAGAAAUCUGCUUUUUUACUUACAUUUACUGAGGUUAUCAAGUACCUCUUUAUGAACUCUUCAUCCCUUUCUAAAAGGUAAAGUUGAAAUUGGGAAAUAUAUUGCAUCAGUUAUUGGGCAUUCUGGGGUUUUCCAUUAUUUUAAAAACCUCCUAUGUGCCUAAUUAUAGCUAAUAAGUACUGUUUAGAAACAUAGCAGAGAACUCAUGAUUUCCUUCUUCACCCAAUGCCCAGAAAAUCCAUGUCCGAGAACAAAAUCUUGAAGGUAUUUGUGAUCAUGACCCAUUCUCAUUAUCUGUAUCCAUUCUAAGAUUUUUAUAUUAUAUGAAUGAAUAUUUUAAAGUGAAAUUAUAGUAUUCAAUGGCAAAUUACAACUACAUGUGACCAAGAGAGGAUUAAACCCAUCAUUUUGCUUAAGAGCUCUGAUGGCUGGAGUAAUUGGAUGAUAGCUGUAGGGCAUCUUUUUGGUCUGUAAUUAGGUCAUUUCUUUCUCAUCCCUUCACUGUGUGUAUAAUUACGAAUUAAUUUGAAAUCCCACUGUGAGUAAAGAAAGUCAGUUUAAUAUAACGGAAGUGCAAAAGCCACAAUAUAUUACUUUUUAAAAACUGCUUAUUUCAAAAUACUCAGUCUGGCCAAAAGUUAUAUCCCUAUGUACUGCAAGGCUUAUAUUUGGUUUCUUUGCUAACUUUGUACAAGUGCUGCUCUGAAAGUAAUGCCUCCUGUUUUAUUAUGUUGGUGUGCAAUGUCAGAGGUGGAUUUUGGUGGUACAUCAGGAGAGGUUGAACCUUCACACCAGUAUUCCACUACAUUUUGUUGCUGUGUGACAGAUGGCAGCAGAGGGUCAGUCUGACAAAAUGGCUUCUGACACGGAAGCAUCUGAGAAGAAAAGAUGUGGAACUGAAUUCCUCCAUGUGGUAAAAAAAUUGCAUCCAUUGACUUUCACUGAUGCUUGCUGAACAUUUAUGGAGAUCAAACAGUGGAUGUGAGCUCAGUGAGGUUGUGGGUAAUGUGUUUCAACAGCAGUGAUAGUGGCAGUGGUUCACCUCCACCGGUGCAAAUUUUUACAAGAACAGCAAGCAGGUUCUCGUUCAUCGUUGGCAAAAAUGCAUAGCUAAUGACAGUGAAUAUGCAGCAAAAUAAAGUUUGUAUUUGAGAAUUUUCUCUAUGAAAUAGUGUUAUUGUGCUCUUUGUAUUUGUUGCAGUUUCUAUGGAAAUAAACAGCAAGUAUUACUUUUGAAUCAAUCUACGUUCCUGGAUGUAUUUUCUCUCUUAAAAUAAAUGAAUUUUCAAAGCACCACACUUUGCUCCAGUAUCUGUCAGUAGGUGUCAACAGCACAAAAAGGUAGUGGAAAGAAAUAAAAAGUAACCAUGAGAGUCUUGACAGACAGUAUUAGCAUCAGAGAACUUAGAGGCCACUCUCAACACAGUCAACCAUUUUAUCCUUUAGUCCUGCCAUUAUUUCCUUCCACUGAAACUACCUUUCUGCUUUUACCCUGAAAGUGUUAAACACUGCACAACCCUAACUAGCAUACCUGCUACUAUGUGCAUCAGGAGCUCACCAUUUCAUCAUCUGGCUGAGAUAUGCUGCUGGCAAGUUCUGCUUCCCUUCCUUUAUCACAACAUUGUGGUCGGAUGCAUCAGACCUCCCUCCCGCCUUAGCAAUGAUACAGGUAAAAACAUGCAUUUCUGACAAAUGGAUAACCCCAAGCAGAUCUGUGGAGACAAUGUUUUGACUUGCUGAACUUCCUGUUUCAUUCUGUUUUCAUCUGUCCCCAGAAACCUUGAAAGGGGUCGGUGAGAGGGUCCCAGGUGUGAUCUGAGCACCAGUGAUGUCAACAGCGAGCCAGGGGCUGUGCAGGGUGUGAAGUUAAAGGGAAGAGCAGAGAAAAGACUGUUGGUGCAGAGAACAAGGGUACUGAGAUUUGACUGUAUUUGUAGCUGUGCUGUAAAAAACUGUAAAACAUCCCAUGCCGUUAGCAUAAGAUUAGAUUUCUGCCAGGAAAAAAAAAAAAAAAAAGAGAGAGAGAGAGAGAACAAAAAGAAAUGGAACUGCUUAGAUAUAAGUUCCAAAGUUCAUUAAGAGGGUUCUUUUCUGCAUAGCUCCAAAGCUAAGAUGUGCUAAGGCAUGUAGAAAAAUAAGGAGGUGUUAAAAACCUACCCAACUUCUUAGCUUUCAAAAAAAGUUCAAAGUCCUAGUCAUCGAUUAUUUACAUGGUGACCUCCAGGCCUAUUUGUGAUGCCAAAAAAAUUGUACUCAGGAAGGAAGGAAGACAUUAUCAAAAAGGAAAGAAUUUCUGUUUAAUCUAAUAAUGCCUUUAUAAAAAUAACCAUUUUCUUUUACAUAUAAUAAAAAAUUCAUUAGAAAAUCUCAACAUAUUUUUAUAUAAAAAUAAUAACUGGCAACAUAGCUAGAAAUAAGAAGCAGAGAAAGAAACUUGGAUGCAUUUCUUGCUUGCAAGAGCAUGAUGAGGAAAUAAGGUAAUCUAGUCUUCCCAUUCUGAACAAAAUAGACAUGAUAACAGAAUAUAUAAAUCAAGACAUUUUUGGAGAAAUAAUGUCACUCCAUAAUUUUUGAAAGUAGAAAUAAUUUAAAAUUCAUGCAUGAAACUAAAUAGGUAAAAUAUGUCAUUUUGAAAUAACAUAACAGUAAAAAUAAUUUGUAAAACUUUUUUUGUUUUUUAACUGAGUCUCAUUUUAUACUUGGAAAAUUUUCUUUAGAAAAUUUUCAACCUCUUCUAUGUAGCUCCUGGGUAAAUAUGGAGGUUUUAUGGAAACCAAACAAAUGAAUUAAAUGACUACAAGAAUUAUUGGCUCUAAAUAUAUACAUUUUCUUCUGAUGCUACUAGAAUGUUACUAGUAUAUACUGUAUGAAUUAUAAAAAAUGUUAUGACAGAUAUGGAAGUAAUAUACUUCGGUGAUAAAUCUUCAAUAGAAAGAAUUUAUUAGAGUCAUAUAGAUCUACU